UACGGAGGGUGCGAGCGUUGUCCGGAAUCACUGGGCGUAAAGGGCGCGUAGGCGGCUUCUUAAGCGUGUGGUGAAAGCUCGGGGCUCAACCUCGAGUCGGCCAUGCGAACUGGGAGGCUUGAGCACUGUAGAGGCAGGUGGAAUUCCGGGUGUAGCGGUGGAAUGCGUAGAGAUCCGGAAGAACACCGGUGGCGAAGGCGGCCUGCUGGGCAGUAGCUGACGCUGAGGAGCGAAAGCGUGGGUAGCAAACAGG
rnacentral:rRNA from 1 species